rnacentral:rRNA from 1 species
GUGUCAGCAGCCGCGGUAAUACAGAGGUCCCAAGCGUUGUUCGGAUUCACUGGGCGUAAAGGGUGCGUAGGUGGCGAAGUAAGUUGGAUGUGAAAGCUCCGAGCUUAACUCGGAAAUGGCAUUCAAAACUACUUUGCUAGAGGGUUGGAAGGGGGACUGGAAUUCUCGGUGUAGCAGUGAAAUGCGUAGAUAUCGAGAGGAACACCAGUGGCGAAGGCGAGUCCCUGGACAACUCCUGACACUGAGGCACGAAAGCUAGGGGAGCAAACAGGAUUAGAAACCCGCGUAGUCC